UUUUGGAUACCUUAUACAUAUUUAUUAUGUAUGUUUUUAUACAUUAUAUAAUUAUACAUCUAUAAUGACUGGUGAUAAGCAUUGAAUAUUUACAUACUGUAAAACUAAGAUAAAACAAUGGUGGGAAUAAAGGCCACAUAACAGAAUGUAAAUACUUUGUUUUUAUAAUGUGGAAAUAUAUUUUAUAUAAAUACAUUUUUAUAUAUAAAUAAAAUACACACACACACACACCCAUUGCACGAUCAGCUGAGAGGAACUAGAAGCAGUGACACUCCAGGAGCAACAUGCGCAGACCUUGGAUUUAAAUGCCAUUCUCCAAUAAAAAGAAUUAUGGGAGGUGGCUGAUUCUAGGACAGAACAGAAACUAUAUAACACUAGCUUGGAGUAUCUUGUCAGAAAGUAAGGAAAUGCUCACAUACACCACACACACACACACACACACACACACAAACACAAUGAUGGGGGUAUAUUUAAGAGAACGUAAGAACCUACUGAAAAUGUUCCCAAUGGCUAAAGCUGGAGCAAUUUGAGCAAUAAAAUAAAUAAAGCAGCAUUGGAUUAUAACUCAAAAUAUAAAAUAAAUAUCUAUGAGUCCAUACUCAUUAUACAAAUAUAUGAUCAAAUACAUAAAGAAGAAAAUACAAAUCUUCUAUAUAGAAGAAUUCCAAAUAAUUUAUGUAGAUACUCUGUUCUGAAGAAGGGAGAGCAUAACUCCCCAUCCCUAAGUGUGGACUAUACAUUGUGACUUCCUUCCAAUGAGUACAAUACAGAAAGAGGGGAAAAGAAUAACUUUACAGUAGAGAAACCUAACAAAACUAUUUCAGCCAGAUGAUUGAUCAAUAGUGAUAAGUCAUAUUGAUAGUAUAUACCCUUGAUAUGAUAAGAAUAGCACUUUACCUCUGUGAGCUUCCUCCUCCAAACUCAUAACCUCCAUAUAAUUGUGAAAAAAAAAAUCAGACAAAUCCCAACAAUAUAUACCAGCACUUUUCAAAAUUGUCAGGGUCUGGAUAGAUCAUCCCAACAGAAAAUCAACAAGGAAACAAUGGCUUUGAAUAACACGUCGGGCCAGAUGGAUCUAAUAGAUAUAGUUAGAACACUUAGAAUAUUCUGUCUGGAAACAGCAAAAUACACAUUCUUUUCAAGUCCAUAUAGAACGUUCUCCAGAAUAAAUCACAUAUUAGACCACAAAACAAUAAAUUCAAAAAGACUGAAGUCACACCGUUCAUCUUUUCUUUUUUCUUUUUUUUUUAAUUUUUUAUUUAUUUAUGAUAGUCACAGAGAGAGAGAGGCAGAGACAUAGGCAGAGGGAGAAGCAGGCUCCAUGCACCGGGAGCCCGAUGUGGGAUUCGAUCCCCGGUCUCCAGGAUUGCGCCCUGGGCCAAAGGCAGGCGCCAAACUGCUGCGCCACCCAGGGAUCCCUGUUCAUCUUUUCUGAUCACAAUGCUACGAAAGUAAAAAUCAACCAUAAGAAAAAAUCUGGAAAGAACACAAAUCCAUGGAGGCUAAAUAACAUGCUCCUAAACAAUAAAUGGGCCAACCAAGAAAUCAAAGAGGAAAUUUAAAAAACACAUGGAGACAAAUGAAAAUGAAAACAUAAUGGUCCAAAAUCUUUAGGAUGCAGCAAAAACCAUUCCAAGAGGGAAGUUUAUAGUAACACAAGCCCACCUCAAGAAGCAAGAAAAGAAAUUGAAGAUUUUAUUUAUUUAUUUGAAAGAGAGAGCACAAGUAGAGGGAGCUGCAGAAGGAGAGGGGGAGGCAGGCUCCCCUUUAAGCAGGGAGCAUCAUGUGGGGUUUGAUCCCAGGACCCGGAGAUCAUGACCUAAGCCGAAGGCAGAUGCUUAACUGACUGAACCACCCAGGUGCCCUGAAGCAAGAAAAAGUUUAAAUCAACCACCUAAACUUAUACCUAAAAGAGCUAGAAAAAGAAGAACAAACAAGACCCAAAACCAGUAAAAGGAAGAAAAUAAUGAAAAUUAGGACAGAAAUAAAUGAAAUAGAAACUAAAAAAAAAAAAUAGAACAAAUCAAUGAAACCAGGAGCUGGUUCCUUGAAAAGAUCAACAAAACUGAUAAACCUUUAGCCAGACUCAUAAAAAAAAAAAAGGUAAAAAA
rnacentral:lncRNA from 1 species